UCCCAUAAGAAUGUGGCAUUGCUAGUUUUAUCUGGGAGGAAAAAAAACAAAGUUGUUUUUAUUGCUGGACAAUGUUUACUAUAGAUAUGUAAGUCAACCUCAUAUAGAGAUCAAGUACUGAUUUUGAAGUCAAAAAUGUGGCUUUUCAUGUGAUAUGUUGAGGGUUUUUCCAAUGUAGGGGGCAAGUUAAAGUUCGGUAUUAAUUUUUUUAAAGGAACCAUCCUUUUCUAUGACUACAAGAAGGAGUGUUAAAAGACAAUACCUUGGGUCUAUCUCAAGACAAUCUUUAAAAAGCACUAACUACUCUCUUGGUGGAGUAGGGACAAAGAGCCAUCACUGCCAGUAUUUUCCCACUUAGACUGUCAAGAGUCAGACGCCAAUUAGCGAACAAAAAUAGAGUUUAUUCAGCAGAUAAGCCAAAAAGUAAUGUUAACACAGAAAAAACCUUGAAACACUUCACUAUAAGUGCUUCAAGAGCAGUUCAAACAAAAAUAUAAUUCAGCAACACAAGCAGGUAAAAACAAAGCUAAACAAAUUUAGUGCAAACUGCACUUUCUGAGUCCAAGCCCUGCCAGCCGGCUCUGUAGUUUUCAAAGGAACAGUUCCCAAAAGAAAAGAAUGCAGUAGACUGCUUCCACAAUGUGGAUAAAGCCAAAGGCUCCAAAAGGAUGGUGAAAAGACGUCGUCCGGGAUUCCAAGGUCAGGUCAGGAGAUAACAGCGGUGUCCAAAGAGCAAGCCAGGAGUCAAAAGCCGAUAGUAGUCAUCAAUCACAGGGCGAAGGCAGUAGCAAGGUCAAAUUCCGAUCCAAGGUCUGAAGAGGGUGCAGUCAUCCAAAACAGGUCCACGAUAAGACACAGCGAGAGCCAAGCUAGGUGAUAACAGCAGAUUCAAAUCAUAGUCCAAGUCCAGUCUUCAUGGAAACACAGAGAUCCCAAUGGCGCCUCAGCAACACCUUGCCACACGCAAAGUGCAGUGGCCAAACAUUCCCAUUUAAUUCCCCUUCCUCCUGGGUGACCAAACACUCACACCCAAACACCAGGUGUCCCAAAUCUACUCAGAGUCUGAGCUCCACUCGGAGUCCCAAUCAUCCUGCCCACACUUAGCCCCAUGAACAGUUAAAGAACCAUCCUCCCUUCUCCAAGCAUCCCAAUUGGGAUCAGCUCCUGCAGAAACCCCAGGUUCAGAAGUAUCCAUAGACCCCAAAUCCCCAGACAUCUCUGGUGGCUGUGCCCAUUCAGUGCCCGCUUCCCCAGCCACCACCUGUUCCUCAGCAUCCAUCUCCAUCUGAAUCUUCCUCAGAAGAUCCCCCAUAUAGCUCUCUAAGUCGCUUCCUGCGCAACUCCUCCAGUGAACCCUCAUCACGAGGGUUUUUUCUUCCUCUUCGAAUUCCAUCCCCAUCAACCAUAAUCCCCGAAGGCGCAGUCACAACAUAGACAUUAAAA
rnacentral:lncRNA from 1 species